UACAGAUUAGAGGGCCCUUCGUUUAAUUAUCUAGAUCGGCAGAAAGUGAGAUUGACCGACCGACUAUGGCUGCAAGACCAGGAGAUCAAGUCGUGUUUACCAAUUAUAAGCCUAAACUGCUGUUCAAGAAGAAAUUGACAAAAAGUGAUUUAGAAAGAAUGUAUUUACCGCGAUCGGAAGUUUCCAAAAUCUGCCCCGCAGCUUUUGAUCGUCCUUCAAAUGAAAGUCAGCGUACUGAUCCAACCCAACUUCUAGUCUAUGACCCUAACGGGACUCGCUGGAGCAUGAAUUUAACAGAAACUUCUGAUGGAAGAUGGAGGCUCAGCGCAGCAGAUUGGGGCCCAUUUGCUCGUGAAUGGAACUUCAGUGAAGGACAGGAAAUCAAAUUUACUGAGUACAAGUGCAACAGAGGAACAGAGGAAAGAUUCCUCGUGAUUGGUCGUGUCCAAAUUCUUGGAGGAGUAAUUGGGUAGAUUUGAAAUGAUUGGUGGUGAAUGCAGUUUUAUUGUUAUGUCUAAAUAAAUUGCUCUCUCAGGGCAUUGGAUUAGAUAUAUAGGGCAGCGUGGUUUGUCUUCUGCUUUGAGCGAGGAGUACGUACGUAGGCUUUUUUAAUAUUAUGAAUUAUGUGUGUAUGCUGUUGUUGUAAGAAUGAGAGUUAAGGUGAUCAAAUAAAAUCAAAUAUUUGGACUUCUUUUA